rnacentral:rRNA from 1 species
UACGUAGGGCGCGAGCGUUGUCCGGAUUUAUUGGGCGUAAAGAGCUCGUAGGCGGUUUGUCGCGUCGUCUGUGAAAACCCACGGCUCAACUGUGGGCUUGCAGUCGAUACGGGCAGGCUAGAGUUCGGUAGGGGAGACUGGAAUUCCCGGUGUAGCGGUGAAAUGCGCAGAUAUCGGGAAGAACACCCGUGGCGAAGGCGGCUCUCUGGGACGGUACUGACGCUGAGACGCGAAAGCGUGGGGAGCGAACAGG